rnacentral:rRNA from 1 species
UACGUAGGGUGCGAGCGUUGUCCGGAAUUACUGGGCGUAAAGCGUGCGCAGGCGGUUCGCUAAGACCGAUGUGAAAUCCCCGGGCUUAACCUGGGAACUGCAUUGGUGACUGGCGGGCUAGAGUAUGGCAGAGGGGGGUAGAAUUCCACGUGUAGCAGUGAAAUGCGUAGAGAUGUGGAGGAAUACCGAUGGCGAAGGCAGCCCCCUGGGCCAAUACUGACGCUCAUGCACGAAAGCGUGGGGAGCAAACAGG